rnacentral:rRNA from 1 species
GACGAACGCUGGCGGCGUGCCUAAUACAUGCAAGUUGAGCGCUGAAGGUUGGUACUUGUACCGACUGGAUGAGCAGCGAACGGGUGAGUAACGCGUGGGGAAUCUGCCUUUGAGCGGGGGACAACAUUUGGAAACGAAUGCUAAUACCGCAUAAAAACUUUAAACACAAGUUUUAAGUUUGAAAGAUGCAAUUGCAUCACUCAAAGAUGAUCCCGCGUUGUAUUAGCUAGUUGGUGAGGUAAAGGCUCACCAAGGCGAUGAUACAUAGCCGACCUGAGAGGGUGAUCAGCCACAUUGAGACUGAGACACGGCCCAAACUCCUACGGGAGGCAGCAGUAGGGAAUCGUCGGCAAUGGGCGAAAGUCUGACCGAGCAACGCCGCGGGAGUGAAGAAGGUUGUCGGGUCGGAAAACUCGGUUGGUAGAGAAGAACGUUGGUGAGAGUGGAAAGCUCAUCAAGUGACGGUAACUACCCAGAAAGCAACGGCUAACUACGUG